rnacentral:rRNA from 1 species
GAUCCUGCUCAGGAUGAACGCUGGCGGCGUGCAUAACACAUUCAAGUCGAACGAGGCAGCAAUGCCUAGUGGCGGACGGGUGAGUAACGCGUGAGCAACCUGCCCUUGCGUGGGGGAUACCAUCUGGAAACGGAUGUUAAUACCGCAUAAAGUACAAGCGACCGCAUGGUCGUAGUACCAAAGAUUUAUUGCGCAAGGAUGGGCUCGCGUCCCAUUAGAUAGUUGGUGAGGUG